AUACCUUUUAAAGAUUGUCCAGAGAGGCAAGGAAGGGUAUGACAUGCAUGAAAGGAUCAUUUUUAGAAUGAUACCUUACCUUGUCACACCCUCCAAGCCUCGCUAAUGAUGAUAGCGAGGCUUAUUUAU
rfam:Solibacillus silvestris StLB046 DNA, complete genome.